CUGUUGUUUGCACUAACAGUUUAAUUGCUAUGAAUGCUGUCACUCAACUUACACUUGUGCCCCACUAACUGGGGAAUUCGACCUUGAUGAGAGAAUGUUCUGCAUUUCAAGAGUUAAGAAUUGCUGGUGGAGCUUUCAUGCAUGUAUCAGGAGGGUAUUUCAGGGAACUGUUUAUGACAGAGAUCAAGCAUGUAUUCAUACCAUCUCUAGCUAAAAGGAGAAGAAAAUAAAAAUAAAAAUCUUACCAGUCACAACCACAAUGUUGGAAUUUGAAUCCAUGCUCCAAAAGGUGAAAUCUCAUCGACUUGCAGUUCCAAACAGUAGUAUCAGCAUUCAUGCAUCUGUGGAAAACUUCCUCAUCUGGGGCAUCUAUUUUUUGAUUCAAACCGUUCUGAAGCAUGCAGAUUUCUAUUGGAUGAAGAAAGUGUUUUCAUAAAGCUGAGAUGGGUUGGGAUUCACACCAGAGGAAUGAUUUCUGUCCCAUGGAACUUUCAAAACAAAUUGUUACACCUGCAUAUUAAAGGCAGCAGGUUACCUCAAGAACAGAAAAGGCUGCAAGAAACUUUUUGCAAAAUGUCCAGCAAUAAAAUAUCCAGCAAUACUUUGCAUCAGAAAACUGUAUAU